rnacentral:rRNA from 1 species
UACGUAGGCAGCAAGCGUUGUUCGGAGUUACUGGGCGUAAAGGGUGUGUAGGCGGUUGUUUAAGUUUGGUGUGAAAUCUCCCGGCUCAACUGGGAGGGUGCGCCGAAUACUGAAUGACUAGAGUGUGGGAGAGGUGAGUGGAAUUCCUGGUGUAGCGGUGAAAUGCGUAGAUAUCAGGAGGAACACCGGUGGUGUAAACGGCUCACUGGACCAUAACUGACGCUGAGACACGAAAGCGUGGGUAGCAAACAGG